UACGGGAGGGUGCAAGCGUUAUCCGGAUUUACUGGGGUUUAAAGGGUGUGUAGGCGGGCUUUUAAGUCAGUGGUGAAAUCUCCGGGCUCAACCCGGAAACUGCCAUUGAUACUAUUAGUCUUGAAUUUUGUUGAGGUAGGCGGAAUAAGUCAUGGUAGCGGUGAAAUGCUUAGAUAUGACUUUAGAACACCAAUUGCGAAGGCAGCUGCUAAACAAAUAUUGACGCUGAGGCACGAAAGCGUGGGGAUCAAACAGG
rnacentral:rRNA from 1 species